rnacentral:rRNA from 1 species
UACGUAGGUGGCGAGCGUUAUCCGGAUUUACUGGGCGUAAAGCGCUUGCAGGCGGUUGGUCAAGUCCGACGUGAAAUCUCUCGGCUUAACCGGGAGGGGUCGUUGGAGACUGACUGACUUGAGGCAAUGAGAGGGAUGCGGAAUUCUCGGUGUAGUGGUGGAAUGCGUAGAUAUCGAGAAGAACACCAGUGGCGAAGGCGGCAUCCUGGCAUUGUCCUGACGCUCAUGAGCGAAAGCGUGGGGAGCGAAC